rnacentral:rRNA from 1 species
CGUACGGAAGGGAAAGGGGGGGGAUCCGCAAGGACCUCUCGCUAUGGGAGCGGCCGAUGUCCGAUUAGCUUGUUGGUGGGGUAAUGGCUUACCAAGGCGACGAUCGGUAGCUGGUCUGAGAGGAUGAUCAGCCACACUGGGACUGAGACACGGCCCAGACUCCUACGGGAGGCAGCAGUGGGAAUUUGGACAAUGGGGGCAACCCUGAUCCAGCCAUGCCGCGUGCGGGAAGAAGGCCUUCGGGUUGUAAACCGCUUUUAGUCGGGAAGAAAAGGCGAUCUCUAAUACGGGUCGUUCUUGACGGUACCGGCGGAAUAAGCACCGGCUAACUACGUG